CAAUGCCGCGUGGGUGAAGAAGGUUUUCGGAUUGUAAAGCCCUUUUGGCGGGGACGAUGAUGACGGUACCCGCAGAAUAAGCCCCGGCUAACUUCGUGC
rnacentral:rRNA from 1 species